rnacentral:rRNA from 1 species
AAUAAACGUUGGCGGUGCGCCUAACACAUGCAAGUCGAGCGAGAAAGGCCUUCGGGCUGAGUACAGCGGCAGACGGGUGAGUAACGCGUGAGAAUCUGCCCUUUAGUGGAGAAUACCCUCGGGAAACCGAGGUUAAUACUGCAUACGUCCCUGCGGGGAGAAAGAUGGCCUCUUUGCUAUCGCUAAAGGAUGAGCUUGCGUACUAUUAGCUAGUUGGUGGGGUAAUGGCCUACCAAGGCGAUGAUGGUUAGCCGGCCUGAGAGGGUGAACGGCCACAUUGGAACUGAGACACGGUCCAGACUCCUACGGGUGGCAG